UGCCACAAGAACAGAAUGCCAACUUUAACAA
rnacentral:piRNA from 1 species